UGGGGAAUAUUGCACAAUGGGCGAAAGCCUGAUGCAGCAACGCCGCGUGAGUGAUGAAGGCCUUCGGGUUGUAAAGCUCUGUCUUCUGGGACGAUAAUGACGGUACCAGAGGAGGAAGCCACGGCUAACUACGUGCCAGCAGCCGCGGUAAUACGUAGGUGGCAAGCGUUGUCCGGAUUUACUGGGCGUAAAGGAUGCGUAGGCGGAUACUUAAGUCAGAUGUGAAAAUCCCGGGCUUAACUUGGGAACUGCAUUUGAAACUGGGGAUCUAGAGUGCGGGAGAGGACAGUGGAAUUCCUAGUGUAGCGGUGAAAUGCUUAGAGAUUAGGAAGAACACCAGUGGCGAAGGCGACUGUCUGGACCGUAACUGACGCUGAGGCAUGAAAGCGUGGGGAGCAAACA
rnacentral:rRNA from 1 species